rnacentral:tRNA from 1 species
GCCUCCGUGGCGCAGUUGGAAGCGCGAUGGCCCCGGCAGGCCAGAGGUCGCAGGUUCGAGUCCUGCCGGAGGUG